AAGUCGUAACAAGGUAACCGUAGGUGAACCUGCGGUUGGAUCAUUACAAAUUUAUAGGAUAAAGUUCACCUUGGGGCAAUUCGAAAACAUCUUGGUGUUCUUGUGUUGUUCCUUGGUGUUCCUAAUCUGACCACACCUUUGUGAAUCAUUGACGUAUUUAUGGCCACAUUAGCGUUUUCCUACGGGGGUAGUUGACUUCUACAGCGCACGUUUGACGCGCUGCAUGAGACUCGGACUAUUGACCUCGCUCCUUAAAAACGGGCGAGGGCAGAACCUGGUGGCCACUCAAACACUUAACCACUCGUUAUUUGACAUUUGCCUUGAAAAUCAAUCUGAAGCUCGAAAGAGUGUUAGGAUUUAAAAAUGAGAAACAACUUUAGACAACGGAUCUCUUGGCUCUC
rnacentral:misc_RNA from 1 species